rnacentral:rRNA from 1 species
GGAAUAUUGCGCAAUGGGCGAAAGCCUGACGCAGCGACGCCGCGUGGGGGAUGAAGGUCUUCGGAUUGUAAACCCCUUUCAGGAGGGAAGAUGGGGCGGGGCAACCCGUUCGGACGGUACCUCCAGAAGAAGCCACGGCUAACUUCGUGCCAGCAGCCGCGGUAAAACGAAGGUGGCAAGCGUGGUGCGGAUUUACUGGGCGUAAAGAGACCGUAGGCGGUGGGGUAAGUCCUGUGUGAAAGCUCCCAGCUCAACCGGGAAAGUACGCAGGAAACUGCCUUGCUAGAGGGCGGGAGAGGAGCGCGGAAUUCCCGGUGUAGCGGUGAAAUGCGUAGAGAUCGGGAGGAAGGCCGGUGGCGAAGGCGGCGCUCUGGAACGCACCUGACGCUGAGGGUCGAAAGCGUGGGGAGCAAAC